GAGAAGGAAUCCAUCAUCACCACUGAGACCACAUUAGCUUUCCGCCACUGCGACAGAUGUGUGAGAAGUCUGACGUGGGCCUCAGGGUGCCGGCAGGGCCAGGCUCCUUCUGGAGACAGUAAAGAUGGCCCACUUCUUGUUCAUACAGCAGUGUUGGCUGAAGGUUACCCUAACUGCUGAGGGCUGCCCACCCUCCUCACUCUGUUCCCCUUCCUGGUCAUCAAAGACAUCAAGGGCCCUGAGCAUAUUAGACAAGCCCACAAGACCCAUCUUUGUGGGUUUAUGGGAUACUAGCCAGGCUGCUGGACAGACCUGCCAUCCCACACACCUGGCACAAGAGGACAGAGAGUCCAAGGGGCAGUAUGCAGAUGUCCAGCUGCUUACAUGAGGAGCUCUGGGAAGAGCUGAGAGUAGCCCAGGUCCACCUCUGGACCUGGAGGGCCCAGGCCUGGCCAGGCUCUUCCCAGUGCCUCUGGCUGUGCUUUCCCUGACAUCUACAAUAAAACCUCCCCCUUAACCAUAGAGUCUGUAGUCAUCAAUCAAAACCACCACAAAAGUAGCUUCCUUGUCCUUCACAGUCAGGGGGAGCCCUGAUCCUGGACUUCCACGUGGUUUCUGGUGUCAGCAUAGCCUCCGGUGGCAGAACAGACCACAGACAUCAACAGGAACAUGGCCACGUUGAAUGAUUCUCCUUCCUCUGCUUCAUCUGUUUAGCUGUCCUGUUGAGGACUGUGGCUGAGCCUGUGUGUUUGUCCUUCAAGUGUGAGCUCCUCUUCUCUGCUUGCUCCUUGAAUAAAAUCCCUCACCUGCACCU
rnacentral:lncRNA from 1 species